rnacentral:lncRNA from 1 species
UGCAUUUCUAUUACCCUGGAUAGUCUAGAUGGCACUUUUUAGAUCUCACGUUUUGUUUGGCUUCAUCUGGGCCAGUUAGUUUUGUUCUCACCCCUACUUACAAACUGUCAAAACACGCCAUCCAUUUCAUAACUGUGUUCUAUAUAAAAAAAGAACAACUAGACCAUUUUCAUCUCAGUUGCUGGGGAAGAAUUCCAGUGGAAUGGACCUAACAACACAAGGGAACUGGAAGGGAAGCUUCAGGCAGGCUGACUCAGAUACCCAGGCUCCUUUCUGCAGUAUCUCUGGAGACCAGCAGACGGACAGCAGUCGGAAGGCAUGUUGCAGCUCACAUUGUAACUCGCUGGAAGAGGGUGAUGGCAAAGCAAAUGGAAGUCAAAGGGCACAGAACUCAAAUCUGCAGCUUCCUGGAAAAUAAAUUACUUCUAGCCUAGAAGGGUGAAGUUGUAUGAUCAGUCUUGAAUCCUGGUACAUGGUGAUUGAAGACCUAGAUGGAAUGUGCUGGACACAGCCACCACCUAUGAUGCCUUUUGGCAUAAAUGUUAACCACUCUUUUACAGUUGAGCUAAAGUCCCACUUAUUCUACAAAGAAGUUCCUGAUUGUCCUUAGUGAAGGGGGAUCCUUGGAGCUCCAAGGAUCCUAUAGCAGAGUUUAUCCUCUGGCCUCUACACAAAGCACAUCUCUGAUAAGUUAUUGGUUACGGCAUCUUUUCCACUAACAAAUGUAGACAUGAGAGAGAUUCUAAGUUUACAGAUCAUCGCAGUAAAGUGAGUCCUACAGGUUGUUCUGGUUUCCCAGGGCACAGAAAAGUCAUGUUUACACCAUACUGUAAUCUAUUAAGCAUGCAAUAGCAUUAGGUCUUAAAAAAUAAUGCAUAUACGUUAAUUAAAAACACUUGAUUGCUAAAAAAAUGCUAAGUGUCAUCUGAGACUUCAGUUAGUUGAAAUCUUUUUGGCAAUAGAAGCAUUGAAAAUCACUGAUCACAGAUCACCAUAAUGUAUUAAUAAUAAUGAAAAAGUUUGAAUUUUGUGAGAAUUACUAAAAUGUGACACAGAUACAUAAAGUGAGCAAAUGUUGUUAUAAAAAUAGUGCCAGUAGACUUGUUUGAUGCAGGGUUGGUCACAAACCUUCAGUAUGUAAAAAACCUAAUAUCUGUGAAGUCAAUAAAACAAGAUAUGCUUGUGUGCAUUUAGAAUCCAAUGAAAUUUUCAUCUUCGCAAAGGUAGGGGAGGGACCCUAUAAAUUUAGUACCUGUAACAGGCCCAGUGGCAAUCCUAGAUACAACAAAGAUUAAUGCCUAUUUGCUG